rnacentral:rRNA from 1 species
CUACGGGAGGCAGCAGUGGGGAAUUUUGGACAAUGGGCGCAAGCCUGAUCCAGCAAUGCCGCGUGCAGGAUGAAGGCCUUCGGGUUGUAAACUGCUUUUGUACGGAACGAAAAAGCUCUGGUUAAUACCUGGGGCCCAUGACGGUACCGUAAGAAUAAGCACCGGCUAACUACGUGCCAGCAGCCGCGGUAAUACGUAGGGUGCAAGCGUUAAUCGGAAUUACUGGGCGUAAAGCGUGCGCAGGCGGUUAUGUAAGACAGAGGUGAAAUCCCCGGGCUCAACCUGGGAACUGCCUUUGUGACUGCAUAGCUGGAGUGCGGCAGAGGGGGAUGGAAUUCCGCGUGUAGCAGUGAAAUGCGUAGAUAUGCGGAGGAACACCGAUGGCGAAGGCAAUCCCCUGGGCCUGCACUGACGCUCAUGCACGAAAGCGUGGGGAGCAAACAGGAUUAGAAACCCCAGUAGUCC